GCCUCUGUAGAUGAAAGACAUCACCUCUUUCGAUUACGACCGCAUGUUUGAAAAUCCAAAAUGUCCCUGAGGAGACGUGGGUUCGAUUCCCACCAGAGGUG